rnacentral:rRNA from 1 species
GCCUACGGGAGGCAGCAGUCAGGAAUAUUGCGCAAUGGAGGAAACUCUGACGCAGCGACGCCGCGUGGGUGAUGAAGGCCUUCGGGUUGUAAAGUCCUUUCGGCGGGGAAGAUGAUGACGGUACCCGCAGAAGAAGCCCCGGCUAACUUCGUGCCAGCAGCCGCGGUC